UCGGAGGCCCGCCCUCCAGCUCGCCCCCACAGCCCGCUGCGCCUGCGGGUACUGAGAGCUCCGGCUGGCGGCGGUGACCCGGGCCCAGCGGUCUCCGCGGCCCGCGCCCCUGGUGGAGGGAAGAGCCGCCUUGGGGAGAAGGGAAAGGGAAGUGGGGGAGGCCACGGCAGCUCCUGUUAGCAGAAAGACUCAAGAGACUAAGGAGUCACUUAAUAGCUGUGUGCAAAUUUCCAAGAGCUUUUAUCCCAAGACAGCAGCACAGAUGAGGUGUCACAGAAGAACUGUCAAGUAGGCAGCUUUUCCUCCCAUGAGGUUUAGACAAUAAUGGAAUAAGUUCCUGAAGAAAAGAGGGAUAAAUCUCCCCUGAAGAGAUCUGAAAAAAGGAUAGCUGUCUACUGGUGUGAAUGUUCCUCUUGUGACUUGGAAAAGUAUACCCUUUUAGUGAAUGAAAGAGAGCUAGGAGAACAAAAUUCCUUUUCAUACCACUCACAGCUGCUUUCCCUUUGCAACA